UGCCAGCCGCCGCGGUAAUACGGAGGGUGCAAGCGUUGUUCGGAAUUAUUGGGCGUAAAGGGCGCGCAGGCGGUCUUGUCAGUCAGGUGUGAAGGCCCGGGGCUCAACCCCGGAUGGUCACUUGAAACAGCAAGACUUGAGUACUGGAGAGGAAAGCGGAAUUCCUGGUGUAGAGGUGAAGUUCGUAGAUAUCAGGAGAAACACCGAUGGCGAAGGCAGCUUUCUGGACAGAUACUGACGCUGAGGCGCGAAGGCGUGGGUAGCGAACGGGAUUAGAUA
rnacentral:rRNA from 1 species